rnacentral:rRNA from 1 species
UAAGGAAUAUUGGACAAUGGAGGCAACUCUGAUCCAGCCAUGCCGCGUGAAGGAAUAAGGCCCUAUGGGUUGUAAACUUCUUUUAGACGGGACAAAACCCCUUUACGUGUAAAGGGCUGAUGGUACUGUCAGAAUAAGCAUCGGCUAACUUCGUGCCAGCAGCCGCGGUAAUACGAAGGAUGCAAGCGUUAUCCGGAAUUAUUGGGUUUAAAGGGUGCGUAGGCGGACUAAUAAGUCAGUGGUGAAAGCCUGCAGCUUAACUGCAGAAUUGCCAUAGAUACUGUUAGUCUUGAGUACAGUUGAGGUAGGCGGAAUGUGUCAUGUAGCGGUGAAAUGCUUAGAUAUGACACAGAACACCGAUUGCGAAGGCAGCUUGCUAAGCUGUAACUGGCGCUGAGGCACGAAAGCGUGGGGAGCAAACA